AGCUUUGCUCAAUAGCAGUAUCAUAGCCAGUGAGGUUUAUCCAAGGCGUAAUUACUACUAAUUGAAAACUUUCACCCUGGUCACUUUCCUCAGCCACAGAGGUAAUGAGUGACAACCAAUCCAGGGG
rnacentral:snRNA from 1 species